rnacentral:rRNA from 1 species
UACGGAGGGUGCAAGCGUUGUCCGGAAUCACUGGGCGUAAAGGGCGCGUAGGCGGCUCGGUAAGUAGGGGGUGAAAUCCUGCGGCUUAACCGCGGGGCUGCCUUCUAAACUGUCGAGCUUGAGCACGGUAGAGGCAGAUGGAAUUCCCGGUGUAGCGGUGGAAUGCGUAGAGAUCGGGAAGAACAUCAGUGGCGAAGGCGGUCUGCUGGGCCGUUGCUGACGCUGAGGCGCGACAGCGUGGGGAGCAAACAGG